AUGGCAGUCAACAUACAAUAUGAAGUGUCUUACUUGACACAAGUGACCAUUUCAAACUCGAAUAGAGAAGCGGAGAUCCAAGCCAUUGUGAUGGCUAGAGCUGAGGCUUCUAGAGCACGUGAAGUGGCUGCAUUAGCCAAUGCGCAUGCAGAUGAAGCGAAUGCGAAUGCAAGAGAAGCUAUGGCUGAGACAUCAGAAUUGAAAAGGAAAUUUGAAGAAUUUCAGAAACAAUUGUUUUCUUGA
rnacentral:lncRNA from 1 species